rnacentral:sRNA from 1 species
AACUCGCUUCCAUUUCCACAAGGAGUACUUCUGAUGGAAUACAGAACAGUCAUGAUUACAGUAGAUAUUGAUAAAAAGAAUCAAAAUUUUUUGCAUAGAAGCAAACUGACCCUCUUCACCAUUUGUAAAUGUACAUAGUAUAAUGCAGAGGGAUAGAUAGAAACAUUUUUAUUAACAAAAUUUGAGAGGGCAAAAUCUUCAGUGCCCUCAGCCAUCGUCUAUCAUAGAUAUACAUGUAUAGCCUAUAGCUACUCAUCAGAUGCUAAGCUUACAAGACCCUGAGGUCACCAAAGUACACGUCUACCAGUCUAGUACUGGCAGUGGCAUUGCGCAGUGAUACUAUAUAUGGAUAUUCAGUUGGGCCUUGGCAUUAACACAGAAAAGCAGACUCAUAAAAU